UACGUAGGGCGCAAGCGUUGUCCGGAAUUAUUGGGCGUAAAGAGCUCGUAGGCGGCUGUUCAAGUCGAACGUGAAAACUCGGAGCUCAACUCCGAGCCUGCGUUCGAUACUGGACGGCUAGAGUCUGGUAGGGGGAUCUGGAAUUCCUGGUGUAGCGGUGGAAUGCGCAGAUAUCAGGAGGAAGACCAGUGGCGAAGGCGGGUCUCUGGACAGUUCCUGACGCUGAGGCACGAAGGUCAGGGGAGCAAACGGG
rnacentral:rRNA from 1 species